UGGGGGAAUAUUGCACAAUGGGCGCAAGCCUGAUGCAGCAACGCCGCGUGAGGGAUGACGGCCUUCGGGUUGUAAACCUCUUUUAGUAGGGAAGAAGCGAAAGUGACGGUACCUGCAGAAAAAAGCACCGGCUAACUACGUGCCAGCAGCCGCGGUAAUACGUAGGGUGCGAGCGUUGUCCGGAAUUAUUGGGCGUAAAGAGCUCGUAGGCGGUCUGUCGCGUCUGCUGUGGAAAACCCGAGGCUCAACCUCGGGCCUGCAGUGGGUACGGGCAGACUAGAGUGCGGUAGGGGGAGAAUGGAAUUCCUGGUGUAGCGGUGGAAUGCGCAGAUAUCAGGAGGAACACCGAUGGCGAAGGCAGUUCUCUGGGCCGUAACUGACGCUGAGGAGCGAAAGCGUGGGGAGCGAACAGGAUUAGAUACCCUGGUAGUCCACGCCGUAAACGUUGGGCGCUAGAUGUGGGGACCAUUCCACGGUUUCCGUGUCGCAGCUAACGCAUUAAGCGCCCCGCCU
rnacentral:rRNA from 1 species